CCUACGGGUGGCAGCAGUGAGGAAUAUUGGUCAAUGGACGAGAGUCUGAACCAGCCAAGUAGCGUGAAGGAUGACUGCCCUAUGGGUUGUAAACUUCUUUUAUAUAGGAAUAAAAUGUUCCACGUGUGCGUUUUUGUAUGUACUUUAUGAAUAAGGAUCGGCUAACUCCGUGACAGCAGCCGCGGUAAUACGGAGGAUCCGAGCGUUAUCCGGAUUUAUUGGGUUUAAAGGGAGGGGAGGUGGGUUGUUAAGUCAGUUGUGAAAGUUUGCGGCUCAACCGUAAAAUUGCAGUUGAUACUGGCAGUCGUGAGUACAGUAGAGGUAGGCGGAAUUCGUGGUGUAGCGGUGAAAUGCUUAGAUAUCACGAAGAACUCCGAUUGCGAAGGCAGCUCACUAGACUGCGACUGACACUGAGGCUCGAAAGUGUGGGUAUCAAACAGGAUUAGAUACCCCUGUAGUC
rnacentral:rRNA from 1 species